UUAUAUCCUGGGAAAGGAAAGUAAAUUUGUAUUUUUAGUAAAGCAAGCCGAAGUAGCUGUGAGUUCGGUCUAAAAUUCAUUUUGAAACGCACCUGGAGGAUCUCUUCUGAAAUAAGUAGGAAGAGACGCUAAAUGGCGUUAAAUUUUGAGUGGUCAGUUCUUAAGUUUAUGCUGACAACUAGAGUGGUAACACGGGUAAUUCCUCGUCUCUUAU
rnacentral:ncRNA from 1 species